AUACGGAGGGUCCGAGCGUUAAUCGGAAUUACUGGGCGUAAAGCGUACGUAGGUGGCUUGAUAAGUCGGAUGUGAAAGCCCUGGGCUCAACCUGGGAACUGCAUUCGAUACUGUCUGGCUAGAGUAUAGUAGAGGGAAGUGGAAUUCCGGGUGUAGCGGUGAAAUGCGUAGAUAUCCGGAGGAACACCAGUGGCGAAGGCGGCUUCCUGGACUAAUACUGACACUGAGGUACGAAAGCGUGGGGAGCAAACAGGAUUAGAAACCCCUGUAGUCC
rnacentral:rRNA from 1 species